GCUGUGCAGAUCCAAACCCCCACAUCGGACAAAACAUUUCAGUUGCCACUGAUUAUAAAGGUAAGUAAGUAUCAUAGACAAUCAGCAAAAGUGUGCAUCAGUGUGCAACAACAUGGACUCUAGGAGCGACACUUAGGAUGAUGGGAAUGACUCUUAAUCAUUUGACCUCUGAUCCAAAGGUGUGAGCAAAUUAAGAAAAAAAUGCACAAAAUAAUUUUGUAUUUACAGGAGUUUGUUCUUCAUAUACCAACAUCACUUUGUUUUAUCACUUUCCCACUAUAGAUCAGAAAGCUGUGGAGAAAAAAUAGCAACAUCCUGACAGAGAGAGCAUUACUUGCUUCUGUGUUGUUUUCCUAGAGAAGGUUGAGAUGAUGGACUUUGGCUGCACUGACCAUUUCAUGAAAUCCCACUAUAAGACAUUCAUAG